GAUGAACGCUGGCGGCGUGCCUAAUACAUGCAAGUCGAGCGAACAGACGAGGAGCUUGCUCCUCUGACGUUAGCGGCGGACGGGUGAGUAACACGUGGAUAACCUACCUAUAAGACUGGGAUAACUUCGGGAAACCGGAGCUAAUACCGGAUAAUAUAUUGAACCGCAUGGUUCAAUAGUGAAAGACGGUUUUGCUGUCACUUAUAGAUGGAUCCGCGCCGCAGUAGCUAGUUGGUAAGGUAACGGCUUACCAAGGCAACGAUGCGUAGCCGACCUGAGAGGGUAGUCGGCCACACUGGAACUGCGACACGGUCCAGACUCCGACGCGAGGCAGAAGCAGGGAAUCGUCCGCAAUGGGCGAAAUCCUGACGUGGCAACGCCGCGUGAGUGAUGAAGGUCUUCGGAGCGUAAAACUCUGUUAGUAGGGAAGAACAAAUGUGUAAGUAACUAUGCACGUCUUGACGGUACCUAAUCAGAAAGCCACGGCUAACUACGUG
rnacentral:rRNA from 1 species